GGGGGGGGUAAGCGUUGUUCGGAAUUACUGGGCGUAAAGGGCUCGUAGGCGGCCAACUAAGUCAGACGUGAAAUCCCUCAGCUUAACUGGGGAACUGCGUCUGAUACUGGAUGGCUUGGAUUCGGGAGAGGGAUGCGGAAUUCCAGGUGUAGCGGUGAAAUGCGUAGAUAUCUGGAGGAACACCGGUGGCGAAGGCGGCAUCCUGGACCGAUAUUGACGCUGAGGAGCGAAAGCCAGGGGAGCAAACGGGAUUAGAUACCCCGGUAGUCCUGGCCCUAAACGAUGAAUGCUUGGUGUGGCGGGUAUCGAUCCCUGCCGUGCCGAAGCUAACGCAUUAAGCAUUCCGCCUGGGGAGUACGGUCGCAAGGCUG
rnacentral:rRNA from 1 species